CUCCUGGAAACGGGUGGUAAUGCCGGAUGUUCCAGUUGAUCGCAUGGUCUUCUGGGAAAGCUUUCGCGGUAUGGGAUGGGGUCGCGUCCUAUCAGCUUGACGGCGGGGUAACGGCCCACCGUGGCUUCGACGGGUAGCCGGCCUGAGAGGGCGACCGGCCACAUUGGGACUGAGAUACGGCCCAGACUCCUACGGGAGGCAGCAGUGGGGAAUAUUGCACAAUGGGCGCAAGCCUGAUGCAGCGACGCCGCGUGAGGGAUGGAGGCCUUCGGGUUGUAAACCUCUUUUAUCGGGGAGCAAGCGUGAGUGAGUUUACCCGUUGAAUAAGCACCGGCUAACUACGUGCCAGCAGCCGCGGUAAUACGUAGGGUGCAAGCGUUAUUCGGUCAUUAUUGGGGCGUAAAGGGCUCGUAGGCCGUUUCGUCGCCGUCCGGUGUGAAAUCCCCAUCCCCUUACCAGCGGUUUCCGUGC
rnacentral:rRNA from 1 species